AACAGCACGAGGUGUCCCAGGUGGUCACCCUCCCAAGUACUGACCACGCCCGAUGCUGCUUAACUGCGGUGAUCAGACGAGA